rnacentral:rRNA from 1 species
UAGGGAAUCUUCCGCAAUGGGCGAAAGCCUGACGGAGCAACGCCGCGUGAGUGAUGAAGGUCUUCGGAUCGUAAAACUCUGUUAUUAGGGAAGAACAAAUGUGUAAGUAACUAUGCACGUCUUGACGGUACCUAAUCAGAAAGCCACGGCUAACUACGUGCCAGCAGCCGCGGUAAUACGUAGGUGGCAAGCGUUAUCCGGAAUUAUUGGGCGUAAAGCGCGCGUAGGCGGUUUUUUAAGUCUGAUGUGAAAGCCCACGGCUCAACCGUGGGGGGUCCAUUGAAACUGGAAAAAUUGAGUGCAGAAAAGGAAAGUGGGAUUCCCUGUGGUGCGGUGAAAUGCGCCGAGAUAUUGGGGAACACCAGUGGCGAAGGGGACUUUCUGGUCUGUAACUGGCCCCUAUGUGCGAAAGCGUGGGGGUCAAACAGG